rnacentral:rRNA from 1 species
GACGAACGCUGGCGGCGUGCUUAACACAUGCAAGUCGAACGGAAAGGCCUGCUUUCCCUUGUGGAUUGCGGGUACUCGAGUGGCGAACGGGUGAGUAACACGUGAGUGAUCUGCCCCCAACUUGGGUAUAAGCCUGGGAAACUGGGUCUAAUUCCCGAUAGGACUGCAGGGUGGUGCCUGUGGUGGAAAACGAUUUUCUAGUGGUUGGGGAUGAGCUCGCGGCCUAUCAGCUUGUUGGUGGGGUAAUGGCCUACCAAGGCGGCGACGGGUAGCCGGCCUGGGAGGGUGGACGGCCACAUUGGGACUGAGAUACGGCCCAGGCUCCUACGGGAGGCAGCAGUGGGGAAUAAUGCACAAUGGGCGGAAGCCUGAUGCAGCGACGCCGCGUGGGGGAUGACGGCCUUCGGGUUGUAAACUCCUUUCGACCGCGAGGAAGCCACCUGGUUGGAAGGGUGGUGACGGUAGUGGUAGAAGAAGCACCGGCUAACUACGUG